rnacentral:rRNA from 1 species
UACGGGGGGGGCAAGCGUUGUUCGGAAUUACUGGGCGUAAAGCGUGCGUAGACGGUUAUCUAAGUCGGAUGUGAAAGCCCCGGGCUCAACCUGGGAAUUGCAUUCGAGACUGAAUAGCUAGGGUACGGUAGAGGGAAGUGGAAUUUCCGGUGUAGCGGUGAAAUGCGUAGAUAUCGGAAGGAACAUCAGUGGCGAAAGCGACUUCCUGGACCAGUACCGACGUUCAGGCACGAAAGCGUGGGGAGCAAACAGG